AUUGAACGCUGGCGGCAGGCCUAACACAUGCAAGUCGAGCGGAUGAGAAGAGCUUGCUCUUCGAUCCAGCGGCGGACGGGUGAGUAAUGCCUAGGAAUCUGCCUGGUAGUGGGGGACAACGUUUCGAAAGGAACGCUAAUACCGCAUACGUCCUACGGGAGAAAGCAGGGGACCUUCGGGCAUUGCGCUAUCAGAUGAGCCUAGGUCGGAUUAGCUAGUUGGUGAGGUAAUGGCUCACCAAGGCGACGAUCCGUAACUGGUCUGAGAGGAUGAUCAGUCACACUGGAACUGAGACACGGUCCAGACUCCUACGGGAGGCAGCAGUGGGGAAUAUUGGACAAUGGGCGAAAGCCUGAUCCAGCCAUGCCGCGUGUGUGAAGAAGGUCUUCGGAUUGUAAAGCACUUUAAGUUGGGAGGAAGGGCAGUAAGUUAAUACCUUGCUGUUUUGACGUUACCGACAGAAUAAGCACCGGCUAACUCUGUGCCAGCAGCCGCCGUAACAC
rnacentral:rRNA from 1 species